rnacentral:lncRNA from 1 species
UUUCUAGGUCCGUAUGAUUUGAAAUACUUGCACACAAACCGCUCGAAAGCGUUCCUGGAAAUCUCAGCCCAAAAAAGGACGUUUAGUAAUUCUAAAAGGGACUACAGGAUGAAAAACAAUAGUUUUGGCAGUUAAAGUUUGAGAUUCGAUGGUGCCGUAGAUCCGUUUGGUCAUCAGGUGUAACGAGCCACACACAUGUCUAGCUAGAGUAGUGUGCUAGGCUCAGACUAGAGAAGAAACGGGGAACAAAGUGAUGAAAGAAUGAUCAUACCGAGGGAAUUCACUCAGAACUUACAAGAAUGAUAACGUGCUCCGACUGGAGCGCUUUAGUAACUGCUGGAAGGCUCUAGGCGAAUAAAGAUGGAAUGACUUCUAAUUUUUAGGUCCGUAUGAUUUGAAAUACUUGCACACAAACCACGCAAAACCGUUCCUAGAAAUCUCGGUCGAAAAAAGGACGUUUAGUAAUUCUAAAAGGGACUACAGGAUGAAAAACAAUAGUUUUGGCAGUUAAAGUUUGAGAUUCGAUGGUGCCGUAGAUCCGUUUGGUCAUCAGGUGUUACGAGCCACACCCAUGUCUAGCUAGAGUAGUGUGCUAGGUUCAGACUAGAGAAGAAACGGGGAACAAAGUGAUUAAAGAAUGAUCAUACCGAGGGAAUUCACUCAGAACUAACAAGAAUGAUAACGUGCUCCGACUGGAGCGGUUUAGGAACUGCUGGAAGGCUCUAGGGGAAUAAAGAUGGAAUGACUUCUAAUUUUUACGUCCGUAUGAUUUGAAAUACAUGCACACAAACCACGCAAAAGCGUUCCUGGAAAUCUCAGCCUAAAAAAGGACGUUUAGUAAUUCUAAAAGGGACUACAGGAUGAAAAAUAAUAGUUUGGGCAGUUAAAAUUUGAGAUUCGACGCUGCCGUAGAUCCGUUUGGUCAUCAGGUCUUACGAGCCACACCCAUGUCUAGCUAGAAUAGUGUGUUAGGCUCAGGCUAGAGAAGAAACGGGGAACAAACUGAUGAAAGAAUGAUCAUACCGAGGGAAUUCACUCAGAACUAACAAGAAUGAUAACGUGCUCCGACUGGAGCAGUUUAGAAACUCCUGGAAGGCUCUAGGGGAAUAAAGAUGGAAUGACUUCAAAGUUUUAGGUCCGUAUGAUUUGAAAUACUUGCACACAAACCGCGUGAAAGCGUUCCUGGAAAUCUCAACCCAAAAAAGGGCGUUUAGUAAUUCUAAAAGGGACUACAGGAUGUAAAACAAUAGUUUUGGCAGUUAAAGUUUGAGAUUCGAUGGUGCCGUAGAUCCGUUUGGUCAUCAGGUGUAACGAGCCACACCCAUGUCUAGCUAGAGUAGUGUGCUAGGCUCAGACUAGAGAAGAAACGGGGAACAAAGUGAUGAAAGAAUGAUCAUACCGAGGGAAUUCACUCAUAACUAACAAGAAUGAUAACGUGCUCUGACUUGAGCGGUUUAGGAACUGCUGGAAGGCUAUAGGGGAAUAAAGAUGGAAUGACUUCAAAUUUUUAGGUCCGUAUGAUCUGAAAUACUUGCACACAAACCGCGAGAAAGCGUUCCUGGAAAUCUCAACCCAAAAAAGGACGUUUAGUAAUUCUAAAAGGGACUACAGGAUGAAAAACAAUAGUUCUGGCAGUUAUUGUUUGAGAUUCGAUAAUCUCGUAGAUCCGUUUGGUCAUCAGGUGUAACGAGCCACACCCAUGUCUAGCUAGAGUAGUGUGCUAGGCUCAGACUAGAGAAGAAACGGGGAACAAACUGAUGAAAGAAUGAUCAUACCGAGGGAAUUCACUUAGAACUAACAAGAAUGAUAACGUGCUCCGACUGGAGCGGUUUAGGAACUGCUGGAAGGCUCUAGGGGAAUAAAGAAGGAACGACUUCUAAUUUUUAGGUCCGUAUGAUUUGAAAUAUGUGCACACAAACCACGAGAAAGCGUUCCUAGAAAUCUCGGCCCAAAAGAGGACGUUUAGUAUUCUAAAAGGGACUACAGAAUGAAAAACAAUAGUUUUGGCAGUUAAAGUUUGAGAUUUGACGGUGCCGUAGAUCUGUUUGGUCAUCAGGGGUUACGAGCCACACCCAUGUCUAGCUAGAAUAGUGUGUUAGGCUCAGGCUAGAAAAGAAACGGGGAACAAAGUGAUGAAAGAAUGAUCAUACCGAGGGAAUUCACUCAGAACUAACAAGAAUGAUAACAUGCUCCGACUGGAGCGGUUUAGGAACUGCUGGAAGGCUCUAGGGGAAUAAAGAUGGAAUGACUUCUAAUUUUUAGGUCCGUAUGAUUUGAAAUACUUGCACACAAACCGCGCGAAAGCGUUCCUGGAAAUCUCAGCCCAAAAAAGGACGUUUAGUAAUUCUAAAAGGGACUACAGGAUGAAAAACAAUAGUUUUGGCAGUUAAAGUAUGAGAUUCAACGGUGCCGUAGAUCCGUUUGGUCAUUAGGUGUUACGAGCCACACCCAUGUCUAGCUAGAAUAGUGUGCUAGGCUCAGGCUAGAGAAGAAACGGGGAACAAACUGAUGAAAGAAUGAUCAAACCGAGGGAAUUCACUCAGAACUAACAAUAAUGAUAACGUGCUCCGACUGGAGCGGUUUAGGAACUGCUGGAAGUCUCUAGGGGAAUAAAGAUGGAAUGACUUCUAAUUUUUACGUUCGUAUGAUUUGAAAAACUUGCCCAUAAACCGCGCGAAAGUGUUCCUGGAAAUCUCAGCCCAAAAAAGGACGUUUAGUAAUUUUAAAAGGGACUACACGAUGAAAAACAAUAGUUUUGGCAGGUAAAGUUUGAGAUUCGACAGUGCCGUAGAUCCGUUUGGUCAUCAGGUGUUACGAGCCACACCCAUGUCUAGCUAGAAUAGUAUGUUACGCUCAGGUUAGAGAAGAAACGGGGAACAAACUGAUGAAAGAUGAUCAUACCAAGGGAAUUCACUCAGAACUAACAAGAAUGAUAACGUGCUCCGACUGGAGCGGUUUAGGAACUGCUGGAAGGCUCUAGGGGAAUAAAGAUGGAAUGACUUCUAAUUUUUACGUCUGUAUGAUUUGAAAUACUUGCACACAAACAACGCAAAAGCAUUCCUGGAAAUCUCAUCCUAAAAAAGGACGUUUAGUAAUUCUAAAAGGGACUACAGGAUGAAAAAUAAUAGUUUGGGAAGUUAAAAUUUGAGAUUCGAUAGUGCCGUAGAUCCGUUUGGUCAUCAGGUGUUAGGAGCCACACCCAUGUCUAGCUAGAAUAGUGUGUUAGGCUCAGGCUAGAGAAGAAACAGGGAACAAACUGAUGAAAGAAUGAUCAUACCGAGGGAAUUCACUCAGAACUAGCAAGAAUGAUAACGUGCUCCGACUGGAGCAGUUUUGAAACUGCUGGAAGGCUCUAGGGGAAUAAUGAUGGAAUGACUUCUAAGUUUUUGGUCCGUAUGAUUUGAAAUACGUGCACACAAACCCAGAGAAAGUGUUCUUGGAAAUCUCGGCCGAAAAAAGGAUGUUUAAUAAUUCUAAAAGGGACUACAGGAUGAAAAACAAUAGUUUUGGCAGUUAAAGUUUGUGAUUCGAUGGUGCUGUAGAUCUGUUUGGUCAUCAGGUGUUAUGAGCCACACCCAUGUCUAGCUAGAACAGUGUGUUAGGCUCAGGCUAGAGCAGAAACGGGGAACAAACUUAUGAAAGAAUGAUCAUACCGAGGGAAUUCACUCAGAACUAACAAGAAUGAUAACGUGCUCCGACUGGAGAGGUUUAGGAACUGCUGGAAGGCUCUAGGGGAAUAAAGAUGGAAUGACUUCAAAUUUUUAGGUCUGUAUGAUCUGAAAUACUUGCACACAAACCGCGAGAAAGCGUUCCUGGAAAUCUCAGCCCAAAAAAGGACGUUUAGUGAUUCUAAAAGGGACUACGGGAUAAAAAACAAUAGUUUUGGCAGUUAAAGUUUGAGAUUCGAUAAUGCCGUAGAUCCGUUUGGUCAUCAGGUGUAACGAGCCACACCCAUGUCUAGCUAGAGUAGUGUGCUAGGCUCAUACUAGAGAAGAAAUGGGGAACAAACUGAUGAAAGAAUGAUCAUACCGAGGGAGUUCACUCAAAACUAACAUGAAUGAUAACGUGCUCCGACUGGAGCGGUUUAGGAACUGCUGGAAGGCUCUAGGGGAAUAAAGAUGGAAUGACUUCUAAUUUUUAGGUCCGUAUGAUUUGAAAUACAUGCACACAAACCCCAAGAAAGCGUUCCUGGAAAUCUCGCCCCGAAAAACGACGUUUAGUAAUUCUAAAAGGGACUAUAGGAUGAAAAACAAUAGUUUUGGCAGUUAAAGUUUGAGAUUUGACGGUGCCGUAGAUCUGUUUGGUCAUCAGGUGUUACGAGCCACACCCAUUUCUAGCUAGAAUAGUGUGUUAGGCUCAGGCUAGAAAAGAAACGGGGAACAAAGUGAUGAAAGAAUGAUCAUACCGAGGGAAUUCACUCAGAACUAACAAGAAUGAUAACAUGGUCCGACUGGAGCGGUUUAGGAACUGCUGGAAGGCUCUAGGGGAAUAAAGAUGGAAUGACUUCUAACUUUUAGGUCCGUAUGAUUUGAAUUACUUGCACACAAACCGCGCGAAAGCGUUCCUGGAAAUCUCAGCCCAAAAAAGGACGUUUAGUAAUUCUAAAAGGGACUACAGGAUGAAAAACAAUAGUUUUGGCAGUUAAAGUUUGAGAUUCGACGGUGCCGUAGAUCCGUUUGGUCAGCAGGUGUUACGAGCCACACCCAUGUCUAGCUAGAGUAGUGUGCUAGGUUCAGACUAGAGAAGAAAUGUUGGGGAACGUAGCAGAAAUUCAAAAUUUUCCUACGUGUCACCAAGAUCUAUCUAUGGAGAGACUAGCAACGAGGGAAGGAGAGUGCAUCUACAUACCCUUGUAGAUCGCUAAGCGGAAGCGUUCAAGUGAACGGGGUUGAUGGAGUCGUACUCGUCGUGAUUCAGCUCACCGAUGAUCCUAGUGCCGAACGGACGGCACCUCCGCGUUCAACACACGUACAGCUCGACGAUGUCUCCCACGCCUUGAUCCAGCAAGGAGAGAGGGAGAGGUUGAGGAAGACUCCAUCCAGCAGAAGCACAACGGCGUGGUGGUGAUGGAGGAGCAUGGCAAUCCUGCAGGGCUUCGCCAAGCACCUAUGGGAGAGGAGGAGGUGUCACGGGAGGGAGGGAGGCGCCAAGGGCUCAGGUAUAGAUGCCCUCCCUCCCCUCCACUAUAUAUAGGGGCAAGGGAGAGGGGGGAGGCGCAGCCUUGCCCCUUCCUCCAAGGAAGGGGUGCGGCUAAGAGGGGGGGAGGAGUCCAUCCUCCCCAAGGCACCUCGGAGGUGCCUUCCCCCUUUAGGACUCUCCCCUUUUUCCUAUAUCUUGGCGCAUGGGCCUCUAGGGGCUGGUUCCCUUGGCCCAUGUAGGCCCAGGCGCACCCCCUACAGCCCAUGUGGCCCCCCGGGGCAGGUGGCCCCACCUGGUGGGCCCCCGGGACCCUUCCGGUGGUCCCGGUACAAUACCGAUGACCCCGAAACUUGUCCCGAUGGCCGAAACAGGACUUCCUAUAUAUAAAUCUUUACCUCCGGACAAUUCCGGAACUCCUCGUGACGUCCGGGAUCUCAUCCGGGACUCCGAACAACAUUCGGUAACCACAUACAAACUUCCUUUAUAACCCUAGCGUCAUCGAACCUUAAGUGUGUAGACCCUACGGGUUCGGGAGACAUGUAGUCAUGACCGAGAUGUUCUCCGGUCAAUAACCAACAGCGGGAUCUGGAUACCCAUGUUGGCUCCCACAUGUUCCACGAUGAUCUCAUCGGAUGAACCACGAUGUCAAGGACUCAAUCAAUCCCGUAUACAAUUCCCUUUGUCUAGCGGUAUGGUACUUGCCCGAGAUUCGAUCGUCGGUAUACCGAUACCUUGUUCAAUCUCGUUACCGGCAAGUCUCUUUACUCAUUUCGUAACACAUCAUCCCGUGAUCAACCCCUUGGUCACAUUGUGCACAUUAUGAUGAUGUCCUACCGAGUGGGCCCAGAGAUACCUCUCCGUUUACACGGAGUGACAAAAUCCCAAUCUCGAUUCGUGCCAACCCAACAGACACUUUCAGAGAUACCCGUAGUGUACCUUUACAGCCACCCAGUUACGUUGUGACGUUUGGCACACCCAAAGCACUCCUACAGUAUCCGGGAGUUGCACAAUCUCAUGGUCUAAGGAAAUGAUACUUGACAUUAGAAAAGCUUUAGCAUACGAACUACAUGAUCUUGUGCUAGGCUUAGGAUUGGGUCUUGUCCAUCACAUCAUUCUCCUAAUGAUGUGAUCCCGUUAUCAACGACAUCCAAUGUCCAUGGUCAGGAAACCGUAACCAUCUAUUGAUUAACGAGCUAGUCAACUAGAGGCUUACUAGGGACAUGGUGUUGUCUAUGUAUCCACACAUGUAUCUAAGUUUCCUAUCAAUACAAUUCUAGCAUGGAUAAUAAACGAUUAUCAUGAACAAGGAAAUAUAAUAAUAAUCAAUUUAUUAUUGCCUCUAGGGCAUAUUUCCAACAGUCUCCCACUUGCACUAGAGUCAAUAAUCUAGUUCACAUCGAUAUGUGAUUAACACUCAAGGUCACAUUCCCAUGUGACUAACACCCAAGAGUUUACUAGAGUCAAUAAUCUAGUUCACAUUUACCAUGUGAUUAACACUUGAUGAGUUCUGGGUUUGAUCAUGUUAUGCUUGUGAGAGAGGUUAUAGUCAACGGGUCUGAACCUUUCAGAUCCGUGUGUGCUUUACAAAUCUCUAUGUCAUCUCCUAGAUGCAGCUACCACGUUCUAUUUGGAGCUAUUCCAAAUAACUGUUCUACUUGGAGCUAUUCUAAAUUGUUGCUCCAUUAUACGUAUCCGGUAUCUCUACUCAGAGCUAUCCGGAUAGGUGUUAAGCUUGCAUCGACGUAACCCUUUACGACGAACUCUUUUACCACCUCCAUAAUUGAGAAAAUUCCUUAGUCCACUAGUUACUAAGGAUAACUUUGACCGCUGUCCUGUGAUCCAUUCUUGGAUCACUCUUGUACCCCUUGACUGACUCAUGGUAAAGCACACUUCAGGUGCGGUACACAGCAUAGCAUACUGUAGAGCCUAUGUCUUAAGCAUAGGGGACGACCUUCGUUCCUUUCUCUCUAUUCUGCCAUGGUCGAGCUUUAAGUCUUAACUUCAUACCUUACAACUCAGGCAAGAACUCCUUCUUUGACUGAUCCAUCUUGAACACCUUCAAGAUCACGUCAAGGCAUGUGCUCACGUCAAGAUCACGUCGGUAUACCGAUACCUUGUUCAAUCUCGUUACCGGCAAGUCUCUUUACUCGUUCCGUAACACAUCAUCCCGUGAUCAACCCCUUGGUCACAUUGUGCACAUUAUGAUGAUGUCCUACCGAGUGGGCCCAGAGAUACCUCUCCGUUUACACGGAGUGACAAAAUCCCAAUCUCGAUUCGUGCCAACCCAACAGACACUUUCAGAGAUACCCGUAGUGUACCUUUAUAGCCACCCAGUUACGUUGUGACGUUUGGCACACCCAAAGCACUCCUACGGUAUCCGGGAGUUGCACAAUCUCAUGGUCUAAGGAAAUGAUACUUGACAUUAGAAAAGCUUUAGCAUACGAACUACAUGAUCUUGUGCUAGGCUUAGGAUUGGGUCUUGUCCAUCACAUCAUUCUCCUAAUGAUGUGAUCCCGUUAUCAACGACAUCCAAUGUCCAUGGUCAGGAAACCGUAACCAUCUAUUGAUUAACGAGCCAGUCAACUAGAGGCUUACUAGGGACAUGGUGUUGUCUAUGUAUCCACACAUGUAUCUGAGUUUCCUAUCAAUACAAUUCUAGCAUGGAUAAUAAACGAUUAUCAUGAACAAGGAAAUAUAAUAAUAAUCAAUUUAUUAUUGCCUCUAGGGCAUAUUUCCAACAGUCUCCCACUUGCACUAGAGUCAAUAAUCUAGUUCACAUCACCAUGUGAUUAACACUGACAGGUCACAUCACCAUGUGACCAACAUCCAAAGAGUCUUGGGUUUGAUCAUGUUGCUUGUGAGAGAGGUUAUAGUCAACGGGUCUGAACCUUUCAGAUCCGUGUGUGCUUUACAAAUCUCUAUGUCAUCUCCUAGAUGCAGCUACCACGUUCUAUUUGGAGCUAUUCCAAAUAACUGUUCUACUUGGAGCUAUUCUAAAUUGUUGCUCCAUUAUACGUAUCCGGUAUCUCUACUCAGAGCUAUCCGGAUAGGUGUUAAGCUUGCAUCGACGUAACCCUUUACGACGAACUCUUUUACCACCUCCAUAAUUGAGAAAAUUCCUUAGUCCACUAGUUACUAAGGAUAACUUUGACCGCUGUCCUGCGAUCCAUUCUUGGAUCACCCUUGUACCCCUUGACUGACUCAUGGUAAAGCACACUUCAGGUGCGGUACACAGCAUAGCAUACUGUAGAGCCUAUGUCUUAAGCAUAGGGGAUGACCUUCGUUCCUUUCUCUCUAUUCUGCCAUGGUCGAGCUUUAAGUCUUAACUUCAUACCUUACAACUCAGGCAAGAACUCCUUCUUUGACUGGUCCAUCUUGAACACCUUCAAGAUCAUGUCAAGGUAUGUGCUCAUUUGAAAGUACUAUUAAGCGUUUUGAUCUAUCCUUAUAGAUCUUGAUGCUCAAUGUUCAAGUAGCUUAAUCCAGGUUUUCCAUUGAAAACACUUUCCAAAUAACCCUAUAUGCUUUCCAGAAAUUCUACGUCAUUUCUGAUCAUUAAUAUGUCAACAACAUAUAAUCAUCAGAAAUUCUAUAGUGCUCCCACUCACUUCUUUGGAAAUACAAGUUUCUCAUAAACUUUGUAUACACCCAAAAUCUUUGAUCAUCAUCAAAGCAUACAUUCCAACUCCGAGAUGCUCACUCCAGUCCUCAGAAGGAUUGCUGGAGCUUUGCAUACUUAUUAGCAUAUUUCAGGAUAGACAAAACCUUCCAGUUGUAUCACAUACAACCUUUCCUCAAGAAUCGUCGACGAAACAAUGUUUUGACAUCCUAUCUGCAAGAUUUCAUAAAUAAUGCAGUAAUUGUUAAUAUAAUUCCAACAGACUCUUAGCAUCGCUACGAGUGAGAAAGUCUCAUUGUAGUCAACUCCUUGAACUUGUCAAAAAACAUCUUAACGACAAGUCGAGCUUUCUCAAUGGUGACACUUACCAUCAUUGUCUGUCUUCCUUUCAAAAUCCAUAUGUACCUAACAGCCUUACGACCAUCAAGUAGUUCUUCCAAAGUCUACACUUUGUUUUCAUACAUGGAUCCUCUCUCGGGUUUUAUGGCCAUGAGCCAUUUAUCGGAAUCCGGGCCCACCAUUGCUUCUCCAUAGCUCGUAGGUUCAUUGUUGUCUAGCAACAUGACUUCCAAGACAGGAUUACUGUACCACUCUGAAGUAGUACGUAUCCUUGUCACCCUACGAGGUUUGGGAGUGACUUGAUCUGAAGUUUCAUGAUCACUAUCAUAAGCUUCUACUUCAAUUGGUGUAGGUGCCACAGGAACAACUUCCUGUGCCCUGCUACACACUGGUUGAAGUGAUGGUUCAAUAACCUCAUCAAGUCUCCACCAUCCUCCCACUCAAUUCUUUCGAGAGAAACCUUUCCUCGAGAAAGGACCCAAUUCUAGAAACAAUUCAUAUUGCUUUCGGAUCUGAAUUAGGAAGUAUACCCAACUGUUUUGGGUGUCCUAUGAAGAUGUACUUUAUCCGCUUUGGUUUCGAGCUUAAUCCUGAAACUUUUUCACAUAAGUGUCGCAGCCCCAAACCUUUAAGAAACGACAACUUAGGUUUCUCUAAACCAUAAUUCAUACGGUGUCAUCUCAUCGGAAUUACGUGGUGCCCUAUUUAAAGUGAAUGUGGUUGUCUUUAAUGCCUAACCCAUAAACUAUCGUGGCAGUUCGAUAAGAGACAUCAUGGUAUGCAUCAUAUCCAAUAGGGUGCAACUAUGAUGUUCGGACACACCAUCACACUAUGGUGUUCCAGGCGGUAUUAAUUGUGAAACAAUUUCCACAAUGUCUUAAUUGUGUGCCAAAACUCGUAACUCAGAUACUCAUCUCUAUGAUCAUAUCAUAGACAUUUUAUCCUCUUGUCACAAUGAUCUUCUACUUCACUCUGAAAUUACUUGAACCAUUCAACAAUUCAGACUUGUGUUUCAUCAAGUAAAUAUUCUCAACAUCUACUCGAAUCAUCUGUGAAGUAAGAACAUAACGAUAUUCACUGCAUGCCUCAGCACUCAUUGGACUGCACACAUCAAAAUGUGUUACUUCCAACAAGUUGCUAUCUUGUUCCAUCUUACUGAAAACGAGGCUUUUCAGUCAUCUUGCCCAUGUGGUAUGAUUUGCAUGUCCCAAGUGAUUCAAAAAUCAAGUGAGUCAAAACGGUCCAUUUGCAUGGAGUUUCUUCAUGCAUAUACACCAAUAGACAUGGUUCGCAUGUCUCAAACUUUUCAAAAACGAGUGAGCCCAAAGAUCCAUCAAUAUGGAGCUUCUUCAUGCGUUUUAUACCGAUAUGACUUACGUGGUAGUGCCACAAGUAGGUGGUACUAUCAUUACUAUCUUUUGGCAUGAACAUGUGUAUCACUACGAUCGAGAUUUAAUAAACCAUUCAUUUUAGGUGUAAGACCAUUGAAGGUAUUAUUCAAAUAAACAGAGUAACCAUUAUUCUCCUUAAAUGAAUAACCGUAUUGCGAUAGACGUAAUCCAAUCAUGUCUAUGCUCAACGCAAACACCAAAUAACAAUUAUUUAGGUUUAACACCAAUCUCUUUGGUAGAGGGAGCGUGCGAUGCUUGAUCAUAUCAAGCAUGGAAAAACUUACAACACAUAUCGUCAGCUCACCUUUAGCUAGUCUCUGUUUAUUCCGUAGCCUUUUGUUUCGAGUUACUAACACUUAGCAACCGAACUGGUAUCUAAUACCCUGGUGCUACUAGGAGUACUAGCAAAGUACACAUUAACACAAUGUAUAUCCAAUAUACUUCUAUCGACCUUGCCAGCCUUCUUAUCUACCAAGUAUCUAGGGUAAUUCUGCUCUAGUAGUUGUUCCCCUUAUUACAGAAGCACUUAGUCUCGGGUUUGGGUUUUACCUUGGGUUUCUUCACUAGAGCAGCAGCUGAUUUGCCGUUUCAUGAAGUAUCCCUUCUUGCCCUUGCCCUUCUUGAAACUAGUGGUUCCACCAACCAUCAACAAUUGAUGCUCCUUCUUGAUUUCUACUUUCGCGGUGUCAAACAUCGCGAAUACCUCAAGGAUCAUCAUAUCUAUCCCUGAUAUGUUAUAGUUCAUCAUGAAGCUCUAACAGCUUGGUGGCAAUGACUUUGGAGAACCAUCACUAUCUCAUCUGGAAGAUCAACUCCCACUCGAUUCAAGCGAUUGUUGUACUCAGACAAUCUGAGCACAAGCUCAACGAUUGAGCUUUUCUCCCUUAGUUUGCAGGUUAAGAAAGUCAUCGGAGGUCUUAUACCUCUUGACAUGGGCACGAGCCUGAAAUCCCAAUUUCAGCCCUCAAAACAUCUCAUAUGUUUCGCGAUGUUUCAAAAACGUCUUUGGUGCCUCAACUCUAAACCGUUUAACUGAACUAUCACGUAGUUAUCAAAACGUGUAUGUCAGAUGUUCGCAACAACCACAGACAACGUUCGAGGUUCAGCACACUGAGCGGUGCAUUAAGGACAUAAGCCUUCUAUGAAGCAAUGAGGACAAUCCUCAGUUUACGGACCUAGUCCGCAUAAUUGCUACUAUCAACUUUCAACUAAUUUUUCUCUAGGAACAUAUCUAAACAGUAGAACUAUAGCGUGAGCUACGACAUAAUUUGCAAAAACCUUUUGACUAUGUUCAGGAUAAUUAAGUUCAUCUUAUGAACUCCCACUCAGAUAGACAUCCCUCUAGUCAUCUAAGUGAUUACAUGAUCCGAGUCAAACUAGGCCGUGUCCGAUCAUCACGUGAGACGGACUAGUCAUCAUCGGUGAACAUCUUCAUGUUGAUCGUAUCUUCUAUACGACUCAUGUUCGACCUUUCGGUCUUCGUGUUCCGAGGCCAUGUAUGUACAUGCUAGGCUCGUCAAGUUAACCCUAAGUGUUUCGCGUGUGUAAAUCUGUCUUACACCCGUUGUAUGUGAACGUUAGAAUCUAACACCCGAUCAUCACGUGGUGCUUCGAAACACGAACUGUCGCAACGGUGCACAGUUAGGGGAGAACACUUCUUGAAAUUGUUGUAAGGGAUCAUCUUAUUUACUACCGUCGUUCUAAGCAAAUAAGAUGUAUAAACAUGAUAAACAUCACAUGCAAUCAAAUAGUGACAUGAUAUGGCCAUCAUCACUUUGCUCCUUUUGAUCUCCAUCUUCGGGGCUCCAUGAUCAUCAUCGUCACCGGCAUGACACCAUGAUCUCCAUCAUCAUGAUCUCCAUCAUCGUGUCUUCAUGAAGUUGCCUCGCCAACUAUUACUUCUACUACUAUGGCUAACGGUUAGCAAUAAAGUAAAGUAAUUACAUGACGUUUAAGUUGACACGCAGGUCACAAAUGAAUAAAGACAACUCCUAUGGCUCCUGCCGGUUGUCAUACUCAUCGACAUGCAAGUCGUGAUUCCUAUUACAAGAACAUGAUCAAUCUCAUACAUCACAUAUAUCAUUCAUCACAUCCUUUUUGGCCAUAUCACAUCACAUAGCAUACCCUGCAAAAACAAGUUAGACGUCCUCUAAUUGUUGUUUGCAUGUUUUACGUGGCUGCUAUGGGUUUCUAGCAAGAACGUUUCUUACCUACGCAUGAACAACAACGUGAUAUGCCAAUUGCUAUUUACCCUUCAUAAGGACCCUUUUCAUCGAAUCCGAUCCGACUAAAGUGGGAGAGACAGACACCCGCCAGCCACCUUAUGCAACUAGUGCAUGUUUGUCGGUGGAACCGGUCUCACGUAAGCGUACGUGUAAGGUUGGUCCGGGCCGCUUCAUCCCACGAUGCCGCCGAAUCAAGAUAAGACUAGUAACGGCAAGCAUAUUGAACAAUAUCAACGCCCACAACUACUUUGUGUUCUACUCGUGCAAAGAAUCUACGCAAUAGACCUAGCUCAUGAUGCCACUGUUGGGGAACGUAGCAGAAAUUCAAAAUUUUCCUACGUGUCACCAAGAUCUAUCUAUGGAGAUACUAGCAACGAGGGAAGGAGAGUGCAUCUACAUACCCUUGUAGAUCGCUAAGCGGAAGCGUUCAAGUGAACGGGGUUGAUGGAGUCGUACUCGUCGUGAUUCAGAUCACCGAUGAUCCUAGUGCCGAACGGACGGCACCUCCGCGUUCAACACACGUACAGCUCGACGAUGUCUCCCACGCCUUGAUCCAGCAAGGAGAGAGGGAGAGGUUGAGGAAGACUCCAUCCAGCAGCAGCACAACGGCGUGGUGGUGAUGGAGGAGCGUGGCAAUCCUGCAGGGCUUCGCCAAGCACCUACGGGAGAGGAGGAGGUGUCACGGGAGGGAGGGAGGCGCCAAGGGCUCAGGUAUAGAUGCCCUCCCUCCCCUCCACUAUAUAUAGGGGCAAGGGAGAGGGGGAGGCGCAUCCUUGCCCCUUCCUCCAAGGAAGGGGUGCGGCUAAGAGGGGGGGAGGAGUCCAUCCUCCCCAAGGCACCUCGGAGGUGCCUUCCCCCUUUAGGACUCUCCCCUUUUUCCUAUAUCUUGGCGCAUGGGCCUCUAGGGGCUGGUGCCCUUGGCCCAUGUAGGCCAAGGCGCACCCCCCUACAGCCCAUGUGGCCCCCCGGGGCAGGUGGCCCCACCCGGUGGGCCCCCGGGACCCUUCCGGUGGUCCCGGUACAAUACCGAUGACCCCGAAACUUGUCCCGAUGGCCGAAACAGGACUUCCUAUAUAUAAAUCUUUACCUCCGGACCAUUCCGGAACUCCUCGUGACGUCCGGGAUCUCAUCCGGGACUCCGAACAACAUUCGGUAACCACAUACAAACUUCCUUUAUAACCCUAGCGUCAUCGAACCUUAAGUGUGUAGACCCUACGGGUUCGGGAGACAUGUAGUCAUGACCGAGAUGUUCUCCGGUCAAUAACCAACAGCGGGAUCUGGAUACCCAUGUUGGCUCGCACAUGUUCCACGAUGAUCUCAUCGGAUGAACCACGAUGUCAAGGACUCAAUCAAUCCCGUAUACAAUUCCCUUUGUCUAGCGGUAUGGUACUUGCCCGAGAUUCGAUCGUCGGUAUACCGAUACCUUGUUCAAUCUCGUUACCGGCAAGCCUCUUUACUCGUUCCGUAACACAUCAUCCCGUGAUCAACCCCUUGGUCACAUUGUGCACAUUAUGAUGAUGUCCUACCGAGUGGGCCCAGAGAUACCUCUCCGUUUACACGGAGUGACAAAAUCCCAAUCUCGAUUCGUGCCAACCCAACAGACACUUUCAGAGAUACCCGUAGUGUACCUUUAUAGCCACCCAGUUACGUUGUGACGUUUGGCACACCCAAAGCACUCCUACGGUAUCCGGGAGUUGCACAAUCUCAUGGUCUAAGGAAAUGAUACUUGACAUUAGAAAAGCUUUAGCAUACGAACUACAUGAUCUUGUGCUAGGCUUAGNNNNNNNNNNUGAUCAACCCCUUGGUCACAUUGUGCACAUUAUGAUGAUGUCCUACCGAGUGGGCCCAGAGAUACCUCUCCGUUUACACGGAGUGACAAAAUCCCAAUCUCGAUUCGUGCCAACCCAACAGACAUUUUCAGAGAUACCCGUAGUGUACCUUUAUAGCCACCCAGUUACGUUGUGACGUUUGGCACACCCAAAGCACUCCUACGGUAUCCGGGAGUUGCACAAUCUCAUGGUCUAAGGAAAUGAUACUUGACAUUAGAAAAGCUUUAGCAUACGAACUACAUGAUCUUGUGCUAGGCUUAGGAUUGGGUCUUGUCCAUCACAUCAUUCUCCUAAUGAUGUGAUCCCGUUAUCAACGACAUCCAAUGUCCAUGGUCAGGAAACCGUAACCAUCUAUUGAUUAACGAGCUAGUCAACUAGAGGCUUACUAGGGACAUGGUGUUGUCUAUGUAUCCACACAUGUAUCUGAGUUUCCUAUCAAUACAAUUCUAGCAUGGAUAAUAAACGAUUAUCAUGAACAAGGAAAUAUAAUAAUAAUCAAUUUAUUAUUGCCUCUAGGGCAUAUUUCCAACAAGAAACGGGGAACAAACUGAUGAAAGAAUGAUCAUACCGAGGGAAUUCACUCAGAACUAACAAGAAUGAUAACGUGCUUUGACUGGAGCGGUUUAAAAACUGCUGGAAGGCUCUAGGGGAAUAAAGAUGGAAUGCCUUCAAAUUUCUAGGUCCGUAUGAUUUGAAAUACUUGCACACAAACCGCGCGAAAGCGUUCCUGGAAAUCUCAGCCCAAAAAAGGACGUUUAGUAAUUCUAAAAGGGACUACAGAAUGAAAAACAAUAGUUUUGGCAGUUAAAGUUUGAGAUUCGAUGGUGCCGUAGAUCCGUUUGGUCAUCAGGUGUAACGAGCCACACCCAUGUCUAGCUAGAGUAGUGUGCUAGGCUCAGGCUAGAGAAGAAACGGGGAACAAACUGAUGAAAGAAUGAUCAUACCGAGGGAAUUCACUCAGAACUAACAAGAAUGAUAACGUGCUCCGACUGGAGCGGUUUAGGAACUGCUGGAAGGCUCUAGGGGAAGAAAGAAGGAAUGACUUCUAAUUUUUAGGUCCGUAUGAUUUGAAAUACGUGCACACAAACCGCGCGAAAGCGUUCCUGGAAAUCUCAGCCCAAAAAAGGACGUUUAGUAUUCUAAAAGGGACUACAGAAUGAAAAACAAUAGUUUUGGCAGUUAAAGUUUGAGAUUCGACGGUGCCGUAGAUCCGUUUGGUCAUCAGGUGUUACGAGCCACACCCAUGUCUAGCUAGAAUAGUGUGCNNNNNNNNNNNNNNNNNNNNNNNNNCGUAUGAUUUGAAAUACGUGCACACAAACCGCGCGAAAGCGUUCCUGGAAAUCUCAGCCCAAAAAAGGACGUUUAGUAUUCUAAAAGGGACUACAGAAUGAAAAACAAUAGUUUUGGCAGUUAAAGUUUGAGAUUCGACGGUGCUGUAGAUCCGUUUGGUCAUCAGGUGUUACGAGCCACACCCAUGUCUAGCUAGAAUAGUGUGCUAGGCUCAGGCUAGAGAAGAAAAGGGGAACAAACUAAUGAAAGAAUGAUCAAUACGAGGGAAUUCACUCAGAACUAACAAUAAUGAUAACGUGCUCCGACUGGAGCGGUUUAGGAACUGCUGGAAGGCUCUAGGCGAAUAAAGAUGGAAUGACUUCUAAUUUUUACGUCCGUAUGAUUUGAAAUACUUGCACACAAACCACGCAAAAGCGUUCCUGGAAAUCUCGGCCUAAAAAGGACGUUUAGUAAUUCUAAAAGGGACUACAGGAUGAAAAAUAAUAGUUUGGGCAGUUAAAAUUUGAGAUUCGACGGUGCCGUAGAUCCGUUUGGUCAUCAGGUGUUACGAGCCACACCCAUGUCUAGCUAGAAUAGUGUGUUAGGCUCAGGCUAGAGAAGAAACGAGGAACAAACUGAUGAAAGAAUGAUCAUACCAAGGGAAUUCACUCAGAACUAACAAGAAUGAUAACGUGCUCCGACUGGAGCAGUUUAGAAACUGCUGGAAGGCUCUAGGGGAAUAAAGAUGGAAUGACUUCUGAUUUUUAGGUCCGUAUGAUUUGAAAUACGUGCACACAAACCCCGCGAAAGCGUUCCUGGAAAUCUCAGCCCAAAAAAGGACGUUUAGUAAUUCUAAAAGGGACUACAACAUGAAAAACAAUAGUUUUGGCAGUUAAAGUUUGAGAUUUCAUGGUGCCGUAGAUCUGUUUGGUCAUCAGGUGUUACGAGCCACACCCAUGUCUAGCUAGAAUAGUGUGUUAGGCUCAGGCUAGAAAAGAAACGGGAAACAAAGUGAUGAAAGAAUGACCAUACCGAGGGAAUUCACUCAGAACUAACAAGAAUGAUAACAUGCUCCGACUUGAGCGGUUUAGGAACUGCUGGAAGGCUCUAGGGGAAUAAAGAUGGAAUGACUUCUAAUGUUUAGGUCCGUAUGAUUUGAAAUACUUGCACAUAAACCGCACAAAAGCGUUCCUGGAAAUCUCAGCCCAAAAAAGGACGUUUAGUAAUUCUAAAAGGGACUACAGGAUGAAAAACAAUAGUUUUGGCAGUUAAAGUUUGAGAUUCGACGGUGCCGUAGAUCCGUUUGGUCAUCAGGUGUUACGAGCCACACCCAUGUCUAGCUAGAAUAGUGUGUUAGGCUCAGGCUAGAGAAGAAACUUGGAACAAACUGAUGAAAGAAUGAUCAAACCAACGGAAUUCACUCAGAACUAACAAUAAUGAUAACGUGCUCCGACUGGAGCAGUUUAGGAACUGCUGGAAGGCUCUAGGGGAAUAAAGAUGGAAUGACUUCUAAUUUUUAGGUCCGUAUGAUUUGAAAUACUUGCACGCAAACCGCGCGAAAGCGUUCCUGGAAAUAUCAGCCCAAAAAAGGACGUUUAGUAAUUCUAAAAGGGACUACAGGAUGAAAACAAUAGUUUUGGCAGUUAAAGUUUGAGAUUCAACAGUGCCGUAGAUCCGUUUGGUCAUCAGGUGUUAUGAGCCAUACCCAUGUCUAGCUAGAGUAGUGUGCUAGGCUCAGGCUAGAGAAGAAACAGGGAACAAACUGAUGAAAGAAUGAUCAUACCGAGGGAAUUCACUCAGAACUAACAAGAAUGAUAACGUGCUCCGACUGGAGCGGUUUAGGAACUGCUGGAAGGCUCUAGGGGAAUAAAGAUGGAGUGACUUCUAAAUUUUUAGGUCCGUAUGAUUUAAAAUACUUGCACACAAACCGCACGAAAGCGUUCCUUGAAAUCUCAGCCCAAAAAAGGACGUUUAGUAAGUCUAAAAGGGACUAUAGGAUGAAAAACAAUAGUUUUGGCAGUUAAAGUUUGAGAUUCGAUGGUGCCGUAGAUCUGUUUGGUCAUCAGGUGUUACGAGCCACACCCAUGUCUAGUUGGAAUAGUGUGCUAGGCUCAGACUAGAGAAGAAACAGGGAACAAACUGAUGAAAGAAUGAUCAAACCGAGGAAAUUCACUCAGAACUAACAAUAAUGAUAACAUGCUCCGACUGGAGCGGUUUAGGAACUGCUGGAAGGCUCUAGGGGAAUAAAGAUGGAAUGACUUCUAAAUUUUUAGGUCCGUAUGAUUUGAAAUAGUUGCACACAAACUGCGCGAAAGCGUUCCUGGAAAUCUCAGCCCAAAAAAGGACGUUUAGUAAUUCUAAAAGGGACUAUAGGAUGAAAAACAAUAGUUUUGGCAGUUAAAGUUUGAGAUUCGACGGUGCCGUAGAUCCGUUUGGUCAUCACGUGUUACAAGCCACACCCAUGUCUAGCUAGAGUAGUGUGCUAGGCUCAGACUAUAGAAGAAACGGGGACCAAACUGAUGAAAGAAUGAUCAAACCGAGGAAAUUCACUCAGAACUAACAAUAAUGAUAACAUGCUCCGACUGGAGCGGUUUAGGAACUACUGGAAGGCUCUAGGGGAAUAAAGAUGGAAUGACUUCUAAAUUUUUAGGUCCGUAUGAUUUUAAAUAGUUGCACACAAACUGCGCGAAAGCGUUCCUGGAAAUCUCAGCCCAAAAAAGGACGUUUAGUAAUUCUAAAAGGGACUACAGGAUGAAAAACAAUAGUUUGGGCAGUUAAAAUUUGAGAUUCGACGGUGCCGUAGAUCCGUUUGGUCAUCAGGUGUUACGAGCCACACCCAUGUCUAGCUAGAGUAGUGUGCUAGGCUCAGGCUAGAGAAGAAACAGGGAACAAACUGAUGAAAGAAUGAUCAUACCGAGGGAAUUCACUCAGAACUAACAAGAAUGAUAACGUGCUCUGACUGGAGCGGUUUAAGAACUGUUGGAAGGCUCUAGGGGAAUAAAGAUGGAAUCACUUCAAAUUUUUACGUCCGUGUGAUUUGAAAUACUUGCACACAAACCGCACGAAAGCGUUCCUGGAAAUCUCAGCCCAAAAAAGGACGUUUAGUAAGUCUAAAAGGGACUACACGAUGAAAAACAAUAGUUUUGGCAGUUAAAGUUUGAGAUUCGACAGUGCCGUAGAUCCGUUUGGUCAUCAGGUGUAACGAGCCACACCCAUGUCUAGAUAGAGUAGUGUGCUAGGCUCAAACUAGAGAAGAAACGGGGAACAAACUGAUGAAAGAAUGAUCAUACCGAGGGAAUUCACUCAGAAAUAACAAGAAUGAUAACGUGCUCUGACUGGAGCGGUUUAGGAACUGCUGGAAGGCUCUAGGGGAAUAAAGAAGGAAUGACUUCUAAUUUUUAGGUCCGUAUGAUUUGAAAUACGUGCACACAAACCCCGAGAAAGCGUUCCUGGAAAUCUCGACCCAAAAAAGGACGUUUAGUAAUUCUAAAAGGGACUACGGGAUGAAAAACAAUAGUUUUGGCAGUUAAAGUUUGAGAUUCGAUAAUGCCGUAGAUCCAUUUGGUCAUCAGGUGUAACGAGCCACACCCAUGUCUAGCUAGAGUAGUGUGCUAGGCUCAGACUAGAGAAGAAACAGGGAACAAACUGAUGAAAGAAUGAUCAUAUCGAGGGAAUUCACUCAGAACUAACAAGAAUGAUAACAUGCUCCGACUUGAGCGGUUUAGGAACUGCUGGAAGGCUCUAGGGGAAUAAAGAUGGAAUGACUUCUAAUUUUUAGGUCCGUAUGAUUUGAAAUACUUACACACAAACCACGCGAAAGCGUUCCUGGAAAUCUCAGCCCAAAAAAGGACGUUUAGUAAUUCUAAAAGGGACUACAUGAUGAAAAACAAUAGUUUUCGCAGUUAAAGUUUGAGAUUCGACGGUGCCGUAGAUCCGUUUGGUCAUCAAGUGUUACGAGCCACACCCAUGUCUAGCUAGAAUAGUGUGUUAGGCUCAGCCUAGAGAAGAAACGGGGAACAAACUGAUGAAAGAAUGAUCAUACCGAGGGAAUUCACUCAGAACUUACAAGAAUGAUAACGUGCUCCGACUUGAGCGGUUUAAGAACUGUUGGAAGGCUCUAGGGGAAUAAAGAUGGAAUCACUUCAAAUUUUUACGUCCGUGUGAUUUGAAAUACUUGCACACAAACCCCGAGAAAGCGUUCCUGGAAAUCUCGGCCGAAAAAAGGAUGUUUAAUAAUUCUAAAAGGGACUACAGGAUGAAAAACAAUAGCUUUGGCAGUUAAAGUUUGUGAUUCGAUGGUGCCGUAGAUCUGUUUGGUCAUCAGGUGUUAUGAGCCACACCCAUGUCUAGCUAGAAUAGUGUGUUAGGCUCAGGCUAGAGCAGAAACUAGGAACAAACUUAUGAAAGAAUGAUCAUACCGAGGGAAUUCACUCAGAACUAACAAGAAUGAUAACGUGCUCCGACUGGAGCGGUUUAGGAACUGCUGGAAGGCUCUAGGGGAAUAAAGAUGGAAUGACUUCUAAUUUUUAGGUCCGUAUGAUUUGAAAUACAUGCACACAAACCCCAAGAAAGCGUUCCUAGAAAUCUCAGCCCAAAAAGGACGUUUAGUAAUUCUAAAAGGGACUACAGGAUGAAAAACAAUAGGUUUGGCAGUUAAAGUUUGAGAUUCGAUAAUGCCGUAGAUCCGUUUGGUCAUCAGGUGUAACGAGCCACACCCAUGUCUAGCUACAUUAGUGUGCUAGGCUCAGACUAGAGAAGAAACGGGGAACAAACUGAUGAAAGAAUGAUCAUACCGAGGGAAUUCACUCAGAACUAACAAGAACGAUAACAUGCUCCGACUGCAGCGGUUUAGGAACUGCUGGAAGGCUCUAGGGGAAUAAAGAAGGAAUGACUUCUAAUUUUUAGGUCCGUAUGAUUUGAAAUACUUGCACACAAACCGCGCGAAAGCAUUCCUGGAAAUCUCAGCCCAAAAAAGGACGUUUAGUAAUUCUAAAAGGGACUACAGGAUGAAAAACAAUAAUUUUGGCAGUUAAAGUUUGAGAUUCGACGGUGCCGUAGAUCCGUUUGGUCAUCAGGUGUUACGGGCCAUACCCAUGUCUAGCUAGAAUAGUGUGUUAGGCUCAGGUUAGAGAAGAAACGGGGAACAAAGUGAUGAAAGAAUGAUCAUACCGAGGGAAUUCACUCAGAACUAACAAGAAUGAUAACGUGCUCCGACUGGAGCGGUUUAGGAAUUGCUGGAAGGCUCUAGGGGAAUAAAGAUGGAAUGACUUCUAUAUUUUACGUCCGUAUGAUUUGAAAUACUUGCACACAAACCACGCAAAAGCACUCCUGGAAAUAUCAGCCUAAAAAGGAUGUUUAGUAAUUCUAAAAGGGACUACAGGAUGAAAAAUAAUAGUUUUGGCAGUUAAAAUUUGAGAUUCAACGGUGCCGUAAAUCCGUUUGGUCAUCAGGUGUUACGAGCCACACCCAUGUCUAGCUAGAAUAGUGUGUUAGGCUCAGGUUAGAGAAGAAACGGGGAACAAACUGAUGAAAGAAUGAUCAUACAAGGGGAAUUCACUCAGAACUAUCAAGAAUGAUAACGUGCUCCGACUGGAGCAGUUUAGGAACUGCCGGAAGGCUCUAGGGGAAUAAAGAUGGAAUGACUUCUAAUUUUUAUGUCCGUAUGAUUUGAAAUACUUGCACACAAACCACGCAAAAGCGUUCCUGGAAAUCUCAGCCUAAAAAGGACGUUUAGUAAUUCUAAAAGGGACUACAGGAUGAAAAACAAUAGUUUGGGCAGUUAAAAUUCGAGAUUCGACGGUGCCGUAGAUCCGUUUGGUCAUCAGGUGUUACGAGCCACACCCAUGUCUAGCUAGAAUAGUGUGUUAGGCUCAGGCUAGAGAAGAAACGGGGAACAAACUGAUGAAAGAAUGAUCAUAUCGAGGGAAUUCACUCAGAACUAACAAGAAUGAUAACGUGCUCCGACUGGAGCGGUUUAGUAACUGCUGGAAGGCUCUAGGGGAAUAAAGAUGGAAUGACUUCUAAUUAUUAGGUCCGUAAGAUUUGAAUUACAUGCACACAAACCCCGAGAAAGCGUUCCUGGAAAUCUCGGUCGAAAAAAGGAUGUUUAGUAAUUCUAAAAGGGACUACAGGAUGAAAAACAAUAGUUUUGGCAGUUAAAGUUUGUGAUUCGAUGGUGCCGUAGAUCUGUUUGGUCAUCAGGUGUUACGAGCCACACCCAUGUCUAGCUAGAAUAGUGUGUUAGGCUCAGGCUAGAGCAGAAACGGGGAACAAACUUAUGAAAGAAUGAUCAUGCCGAGGGAAUUCACUCAGAACUAACAAGAAUGAUAACGUGCUCCGACUGGAGCGGUUUAGGAACUGCUGGAAGGCUCUAGGGGAAUAAAGAUGGAAUGACAUCAAAUUUUUAGGUCCGUAUGAUUUGAAAUACUUGCACACAAACCGCAAGAAAGCGUUCUUGGAAAUCUCCGCCCAAAAAAGGACGUUUAGUAAUUCUAAAAGGGUCUACAGGAUGAAAAACAAUAGUUCUGGCAGUUAAAGUUUGAGAUUCGAUAAUGUCGUAGAUCCGUUUGGUCAUCAGGCGUAACGAGCCACACCCAUUUCUAGCUAGAGUAGUGUGCUAGGCUCAGACUAGAGAAGAAACGGGGAACAACCUGAUGAAAGAAUGAUCAUACCGAGGGAAUUCACUCAGAACUAACAAGAAUGAUAACGUGCUCCGACUGGAGCGGUUUAGGAACUGCUGGAAGGCUCUACGGGAAUAAAGAAGGAAUGACUUCUAAUUUUUAGGUCCGUAUGAUUUGAAAUACGUGCACACAAACCCCGAGAAAGCGUUCCUGGAAAUCUCGGCCCAAAAAAGGACGUUUAGUAUUCUAAAAGCGACUACAGAAUGAAAAACAAUAGUUUUGGUAGUUAAAGUUUGAGAUUUAACGGUGCCGUAGAUCUGUUUGGUCAUCAGGUGUUACGAGCCACACCCAUGUCUAGCUAGAAUAGUGUGUUAGGCUCAGGCUAGAUAAGAAACAGGGAACAAAGUGAUGAAAGAAUGAUCAUACCAAGGGAAUUCACUCAGAACUAACAAGAACGAUAACAUGCUCCGACUGGAGUGGUUUAGGAACUGCUGGAAGGCUCUAGGGGAAUAAAGAUGGAAUGACUUCUAAUUUUUAGGUCUGUAUGAUUUGAAAUACUUGCACACAAACCGCACGAAAGCGUUCCUGGAAAUCUCAUCCCAAAAAAGGACGUUUAGUAAUUCUAAAAGGGACUACAGGAUGAAAAACAAUAGUUUUGGCAGUUAAAGUUUGAGAUUCGAUAAUGCUGUAGAUCCGUUUGGUCAUCAGGUGUAACGAGCCACACCCAUGUCUAGCUAGAGUAGUGUGCUAGGCUCAGACUAGAGAAGAAACGGGGAACAAACUGAUGAAAGAAUGAUCAUACCGAGGGAAUUCACUCAGAACUAACAAUAAUGAUAACGUGCUCCGACUGGAGCGGUUUAGGAACUGCUGGAAGGCUCUAGGGGAAUAAAGAUGGAAUGAGUUCUAAUUUUUAGGUCUGUAUGAUUUGAAAUACUUGCACACAAACCGCGUGAAAGCAUUCCUGGAAAUUUCAGCCCAAAAAAGGACGUUUAGUAAUUUUAAAAGGGACUACACGAUGAAAAACAAUAGUUUUGGCAGUUAAAGUUUGAGAUUCGACGGUGCCGUAGAUCCGUUUGGUCAUCAGGUGUUACGAGCCACACCCAUGUCUAGCUAGAAUAGUAUGUUAGGCUCGGGUAAGAGAAGAAACGGGGAACAAACUGAUGAAAGAAUGAUCAUACCAAGGGAAUUCACUCAGAACUAACAAGAAUGAUAACGUGCUCCGACUGGAGCGGUUUAGGAACUGCUGGAAGGCUCUAGGGGAAUAAAGAUGGAAUGACUUCUAAUUUUUACGUUCGUAUGAUUUGAAAUACUUGCACACAAACCACGCAAAAGCGUUCCUGGAAAUCUCAUCCUAAAAAAGGACGUUUAGUAAUUCUAAAAGGGACUACAGGAUGAAAAAUAAUAGUUUGGGCAGUUAAAAUUUGAGAUUCGACGGUGCCGUAGAUCCGUUUGGUCAUCAGGUGUUACGAGCCACACCCAUGUCUAGCUAGAAUAGUGUGUUAGGCUCAGGCUAGAGAAGAAACGGGGAACAAACUGAUGAAAGAAUGAUCAUAUCGAGGGAAUUCACUCAGAACUAACAAGAAUGAUAACGUGCUCCGACUGGAGCAGUUUAGAAACUGCUGGAAGGCUCUAGGGGAAUAAAGAUGGAAUGACUUCUAAUUUUUAGGUCUGUAUGAUUUGAAAUACGUGCACACGAACCCCGAGAAAGCGUUCCUGGAAAUCUCGGCCCAAAAAAGGACGUUUAGUAAUUCUAAAAGGGACUACAGGAUGAAAAACAAUAGUUUUGGCAGUUAAAGUUUGAGAUUCGACGGUGCCGUAGAUCCGUUUGUUCAUCAGGUGUUACGAGCCACACCCAUGUCUAGCUAGAAUAGUGUGUUAGGCUCAGGCUAGAGAAGAAACGGGGAACAAACUGAUGAAAGAAUGAUCAUACCGAGGGAAUUCACUCAGAACUAACAAGAAUGAUAACGUGCUCCGACUGGAGCGGUUUAGGAACUGCUAGAAGGCUCUAGGGGAAUAAAGAAGGAAUGACUUCUAAUUUUUAGGUCCGUAUGAUUUGAAAUACGUGCACACAAACCCCGAGAAAGCGUUCCUGGAAAUCUUGGCCCAAAAAAGGACGUUUAGUAUUCUAAAAGCGACUACAGAAUGAAAAACAAUAGUUUUGCUAGUUAAAGUUUGAGAUUUGAUGGUGCCGUAGAUCUGUUUGGUCAUCAG